ensembl:lncRNA
CUACCAAGGCCUUUCAGAUCCAUACACAUGUUUAUUACAGUGAUAGUUGUUAGCCAAGCAUUGAUGUUGUCAUUCUCUCUCAGGUCUUGUCUCUUAUGAUCACAGUAGAGGUGACAGCACAGUUAUAGAGCAGCAGCAUGAUAUGAUUACUUUAUUGAGCCUUUAUUACUUUAUUUUUACAUUUUAAAUGGACCAAACUGUCUGGGGCACGAUUACAGACUUGGAUGAAUGGGCAAAAUCAGAUUUGGGGUGUUCGAACACACAUACACACCUACAAACAAACACACACAUGCAGAUAAACAGAGACACACACACACACACACAUACACACACACAUACACAAACAAAGUGCCUUAAGUGCUGGUAAUGUCUGUCAUGCUGCUCUGACAGCAGUAGUUUAACGCAGGCAAUCUGCUUAAUAUGCCCAAUGUGAGACAUUAGAUUCAAACAACAUUAAGGAGAUUUGGACUAUAUUGUUUUCUCACGGCACCGUGGAGAGAGCGAUAAAAUUACAAGGAACUAGAAAUUGUAGGUUUUAGCCCCAGCAAACAUGUCCACAUUGUCUCGGUGUGGGCCCAAUUUGGGCUAAAAUAUUGGCCCCAUCUAGGCUGCCCACAUUGGGCCGAUGCGCCUUUGGUGUGGGCUAUUCUGUGUUUAGUUGGUAUGGGCUAGCCUGUGUUGGGCUGGUGUGGGCUAUUCUGUGUUUAGUUGGUAUGGGCUAGCCUGUGUUGGGCUGGUGUGGGCUAGCCCGUGUUGGGCUGGUGUGGGCUAUUCUGUGUUUUGUUGGUAUGGGCUAGCCCGUGUUGGGCUGGUGUGGGCUAGCCCGUGUUGGGCUGGUGUGGGCUAUUCUGUGUUUUGUUGGUAUGGGCUAGCCCGUGUUGGGCUGGUGUGGGCUAGCCCGUGUUGGGCUGGUGUGGGCUAGCCUGUGUUGGGUUGGUGUGGGCUAGCCUGUGUUGGGUUGGUGUGGGCUAGCCUGUGUUUAGUUGGUAUGGGCUAGCCCGUGUUGGGCUGGUGUGGGCUAGCCUGUGUUUUGUUGGUAUGGGCUAGCCCGUGUUGGGCUGGUGUGGGCUAGCCCGUGUUGGGUUGGUGUGGGCUAGCCUGUGUUGGGUUGGUGUGGGCUAGCCUGUGUUGGGUUGGUGUGGGCUAGCCUGUGUUUAGUUGGUAUAGGCUAGCCUGUGUUGGGCUGGUGUGGGCUAUUCUGUGUUUAGUUGGUAUGGGCUAGCCUGUGUUGGGCUGGUGUGGGCUAGCCUGUGUUUAGUUGGUAUAGGCUAGCCUGUGUUGGGUUGGUGUGGGCUAGCCUGUGUUUAGUUGGUAUAGGCUAGCCUGUGUUGGGCUGGUGUGGGCUAUUCUGUGUUUAGUUGGUAUGGGCUAGCCUGUGUUGGGCUGGUGUGGGCUAUUCUGUGUUUAGUUGGUAUGGGCUAGCCUGUGUUGGGCUGGUGUGGGCUAUUCUGUGUUUCGUUGGUAUGGGCUAGCCUGUGUUGGGUUGGUGUGGGCUAGCCUGUGUUGGGUUGGUGUGGGCUAGCCUGUGUUGGGUUGGUAUGGGCUAGCCUGUGUUGGGUUGGUGUGGGCUAGCCUGUGUUGGGUUGGUAUGGGCUAGCCUGUGUUGGGUUGGUGUGGGCUAGCCUGUGUUGGGUUGGUGUGGGCUAGCCUGUGUUGGGUUGGUGUGGGCUAGCCUGUGUUGGGUUGGUGUGGGCUAGCCUGUGUUGGGUUGGUAUGGGCUAGCCUGUGUUGGGUUGGUAUGGGCUAGCCUGUGUUGGGUUGGUAUGGGCUAGCCUGUGUUGGGUUGGUGUGGGCUAGCCUGUGUUGGGUUGGUGUGGGCUAGCCUGUGUUGGGUUGGUGUGGGGUAGCCUUUGUUGGGCUGGGUGCUGAUGUAGGAUAUCUGAUGUUGGGCUGAUGUGGGAUUGGUGUGGGCUAGCCUGUGUUGGGCUGGCUUAGGCUAGCCCAACUUGCCCACCAAAUACCCACAUGGGGCCAAUGGGUUCAUGUUUGCUGGGGAGAAAGAAAAGAGAACCUUCCCUCACAGCUAUCUGCCUGAAGCUUGAAUACACAUAUUACUCAACGCAGGUUGGACUGGACUGAGCCAGCCCAGAGAACAUUUUGAUAAAGGGGACUUUUCUAACGCCUUCAAAGACCUGCCUUCAUGAAUUGGACCCAGAGUUCCAAUCAGCUCAAAACUAUUUGUUUUAAUGUCGUUUAUAGAGCUGGUCUUCAUUCUAUUUGAACAAUCUUAAGAGCUGUCAUUUUAUUGUGAGGAACUGCAGUUUUAUCAGACGUUUUUUCUGUUUUGUCCUCUGUGUGAGUGAUCCUUCAAGUUCAGUAUGAGAAGCCUUAGUCAGUAGUCACAGUAACACUGUCUAACUUUUACUCAAACAGUAGUACUACUCACUUUUAAUAACUAAAUCCUAUCUGGGCUCGGGAGUAGCUCACUUACACUGUAUGAGGCUGGCUGUGUGUGUGUGUGUGUGUGUGUGUGUGUGUGUGUGUGUGUGUGUGUGUGUGUGUGUGUGU